GACGAACGCUGGCGGCGUGCUUAACACAUGCAAGUCGAACGGAAAGGCCCUGCUUUUGUGCGGUGCUCGAGUGCCGAACGGGUGAGUAACACGUGAGUAACCUGCCCUUGACUUUGGGAUAACUUCAGGAAACUGGGGCUAAUACCGUAUAGGAUCUCCUGCUGCAUGGUGGGGGUUGGAAAUUUUCGGCGGUUGGGGAUGGACUCGCGGCUUAUCAGCUUGUUGGUGGGGUAGUGGCUUACCAAGGCUUUGACGGGUAGCCGGCCUGAGAGGGUGACCGGCCACAUUGGGACUGCGAUACGGCGCAGACUCCUACGGGAGGCAGCAGUGGGGAAUAUUGCACAAUGGGCGGAAGCCUGAUGCAGCAACGCCGCGUGCGGGAUGACGGCCUUCGGGCUGUAAACCGCUUUCGCCUGUGACGAAGCGUGAGUGACGGUAAUGGGUAAAGAAGCACCGGCUAACUACGUG
rnacentral:rRNA from 1 species